rnacentral:rRNA from 1 species
AGAGUGAACGCUGGCGGUGCGCCUAAAACAUGCAAGUCGAGUGGGUUUAGACCCACGGCAAACGGCUGAGUAACACAUGGGUACCUACCCCGAACUCAGGGAUAUCCCGCCGAAAGGCGGAGUAAUACCGGAUAGUUCCGCAAGGAUAAAGCUUUAGCGGUUCGGGAGGGGCCUGUGCCCUAUCAGAUAGUUGGUGAGGUAACGGCUUACCAAGUCAAUGACGGGUAACUGGUCUGAGAGGACGGCCAGUCAGAAUGGAACUGAGACACG